GGAAGGAUUUCAAUAAUUUACCUGAAAGCAAUGCUUUGCCGUUUUUAUCUGUGUCGCGUGUUUGUUUGUUUGUUUAUUUAUGUGUUUGUUGUCAUCUUCCCCCUGCACUGAGGAAACUGUUUGUUUUCUCUCUGUGUUUACAGGAUGAAGCAGCUCCAGUGCUCGGGACUAAACACUCGACUACAAAGACUCAUCUAUCUCUAGUCGUUAUUCUGUUGGAACAUUGUUGAUGUUUUGCUUCUGGACAAUCUCCUGGGUUUGGACGAUGAGGUUCUAUUAUCAAACCACAGUGACGGAGAGCGUCUUCAAAACUGAUUUUCAAAGCUCACAAGUUUUCGGUCUUUCACUGCUGAGCCUGCAUUUUUGUUUUAAGGACAGUGAACUCAGUGCAGAUCCUGUGAGGCCGAGCGACUCGCCAACAUGAAGACCACAACCCGACUGGUCCACAGCAGGAGUGAGCAACGUGUGUGUAUGUGAGCGCGCAAACAUGGUGUCUGAUGUGAAAAGUAACUCCGCUGUAACUCCAUUACAGCAUCUGCACCCUGUGUGUGUGUGUGUGUGCUUGUACUCGACGAGCAGUCCUCAUGGAGAACAAAACCUGGUUCUAAAGAGAACAGAACCCACUUUCUGAGGAAAGACUGGUCUUAGGCAUUAUUUGGCUAUGAUUAAGGUUAGUGAUAAUGCUUUGUUUAGGCUGGAGAAAUGUGUUUGAUGCAGAGACUGAGAGAAACCUGUUCAAACCUGGUGUUCAUUUCCUUCCUGAGUUUCUAUAAAUCAUGUCUUUAUAGAGUCUGACUGAGUCCAUGAGUCAGAGGGAGGAACAAUAGAGUCAAGAGAUUCAAAAUGAAAAUGACACGAAAUAAUAUUUGACAUUUUAAAUCAUGUGGUGAUCAGUGUUCAUAUUGCACAAACAAAUCAAUGUGUGGGUGCUGAUGAUUUGGAAAGAUAAACU